rnacentral:rRNA from 1 species
GUAGUCUGCAACUCGACUACAUGAAGCUGGAAUCGCUAGUAAUCGCGAAUCAGCAUGUCGCGGUGAAUACGUUCCCGGGUCUUGUACACACCGCCCGUCACACCAUGGGAGUCGGAAAUGCCCGAAGCCAGUGACCCAACCAUAAGGAGGGAGCUGUCGAAGGUGGAGCCGGUGACUGGGGUGAAGUCGUAACAAGGUAGC